rnacentral:rRNA from 1 species
UACGUAGGGCGCGAGCGUUGUCCGGAAUCAUUGGGCGUAAAGCGCGUGUAGGCGGCUCGAUAAGUCUGCUGUGAAAGUUCAGGGCUCAACCCUGAAAUGCCGGUGGAAACUGUCGAGCUAGAGUCCGGAAGAGGCGAGUGGAAUUCCUGGUGUAGCGGUGAAAUGCGCAGAUAUCAGGAGGAACACCAAUGGCGAAGGCAGCUCGCUGGGACGGUACUGACGCUGAGACGCGAAAGCGUGGGGAGCAAACAGG